ACGGAAGGCAGCAGUGGGGAAUAUUGGACAAUGGGGGAAACCCUGAUGCAGCGACGCCGCGUGAAGGAAGAAGUAUCUCGGUAUGUAAACUUCUAUCAGCAGGGAAGAAAGUGACGGUACCUGACUAAGAAGCCCCGGCUAACUACGUGCCAGCAGCCGCGGUAAUACGUAGGGGGCAAGCGUUAUCCGGAUUUACUGGGUGUAAAGGGAGCGUAGACGGCAAGACAAGUCUGAAGUGAAAGGCAUGGGCUCAACCUGUGGACUGCUUUGGAAACUGCCUUGCUUGAGUGCCGGAGGGGUAAGCGGAAUUCCUAGUGUAGCGGUGAAAUGCGUAGAUAUUAGGAGGAACACCAGUGGCGAAGGCGGCUUACUGGACGGUAACUGACGUUGAGGCUCGAAAGCGUGGGGAGCAAACAGGAUUAGAUACCCUGGUA
rnacentral:rRNA from 1 species